rnacentral:rRNA from 1 species
AUUGAACGCUGGCGGCAUGCCUUACACAUGCAAGUCGAACGGCAGCACGGGAGCAAUCCUGGUGGCGAGUGGCGAACGGGUGAGUAAUAUAUCGGAACGUGCCCAGUCGUGGGGAUAACGUAGUGAAAGCUACGCUAAUACCGCAUACGAUCUAUGGAUGAAAGCGGGGGAUCGCAAGACCUCGCGCGAUUGGAGCGGCCGAUAUCAGAUUAGGUAGUUGGUGAGGUAAAGGCUCACCAAGCCGACGAUCUGUAGCUGGUCUGAGAGGACGACCAGCCACACUGGGACUGAGACACGGCCCAGACUCCUACGGGAGGCAGCAGUGGGGAAUUUUGGACAAUGGGCGCAAGCCUGAUCCAGCAAUGCCGCGUGCAGGAUGAAGGCCUUCGGUGUAACUAGCUUUGUACGUACGAAACGGUAGAGCUCGUAAUACAG